rnacentral:lncRNA from 1 species
GGAAUUCAAAAUUUGAGACUAAAAUUUCCCGAUAGGGAUUCUAUCGCCAAAGACCUGUUUCCUGACCCAACCCAACCCACACCAACAGAUGGCGUUGUUCCUCUCAGUGAGAUAGGAAAGUUGUUUAUUUCAUUAAUGUCUUAUACGUUUUUUUUCUUAGAGUUAAACAAUUAGGAAAUUAUGAUCAUCUUGUGCAAGACAAGGUUUUACAUGGAGCCGUCGCAUUUAGAUUUUUAUAUUGCGACGAAAUCAUAAUUAUAAACUCGAAUUUGUGUUUUCGUGUUUUAUUAAACUGCCGUUAGAUGGUUCUGAGUUCUGACGCAUUGCUAUAAGGCCGUGCUAUAUAAACACAGCCUAUUAUCUAGUCAACUCGGUCUACUGUUUUCCAUUUGCAGUCUUCAAAUCUUCAAUCUUCAUUCUUCAUUCGAAAGUAAAAAUGAAUGUUUUCUUUUCUUCCAUCAACCAGCGGCCAUCAAUGGUAGAUCCUCAGAAUACAAUUACAGAAAUGACCAACAACAGUGAAGAACAACAGACCUCAUCUUCCGGGAGACCAUCAUAGAGGUGGUAUUUCAGCCACCAACUCCAGAGGCCAAAGUUGAAUCUGAUGCUCCCCCCGCUGUGAUCACCACUCAGCCAGCACAGCCAAUGCCUGAACACGAUGACAGCAUUGCUGUGGUCAUGUGGGAAUCCACCGUUACUGGUUCCAUCAACCAGUGGCCAUCAAUGGUAGAUCCUCAGAAUAAAAUUACAGAAAUGACCAACAACAGUGAAGAACAACAGACCUCAUCUUCCGGGAGACCAUCAUAGAGGGAGACCAUCAAAUUCAGCCACCAACUCCAGAGGCCAAGGUUGAAUCUGAUGCUCCCCCCGCUGUGAUCACCACUCAGCCAGCACAGCCAAUGCCUGAACACGAUGACAGCAUUGCUGUGGUCAUGUGGGAAGCCACCGUUACUGGUCGACGCCUCAUCGACGAGAUGGUCAACCUGGGAUCAUUCUACGUGGCACAGUAAGAGAAAGCAGAAGGGCACGAUUUCAACGAGUACGUCAUGCCGUAUGGCAAGCUACCGCUGAAUGUAAUUCGCAACUACAAUCUUCGCAUCGUUGACAC